CCUACGGGAGGCAGCAGUGGGGAAUUUUGCGCAAUGCUCGUAAGAGUGACGCAGCGACGCCGCGUGAAUGACGAAGGCCUUCGGGUCGUAAAGUUCUUUCGACAGGGAAGAAAAUGCCUAUAAGUAACUGUGUAUGUAUUGACGGUACCUGUAUAAGCAGCCCCGGCUAACUCCGUGCCAGCAGCCGCGGUAAUACGGAGGGGGCGAGCGUUGUUCGGAGGGACUGGGCGUAAAGAGCACGUAGGCGGUGUUGUAAGUCAUUAGUCAAAGACUAGAGCUCAACUUUAGUAAGGCUAGUGAUACUAUAAUACUAGAGUAUCAGAGAGGAUUGCAGAAUUCCUGGUGUAGCGGUGAAAUGCGUAGAUAGCAGGAGGAAUACCGUUAGCGAAGGCGGCAAUCUGGCUGGAAACUGACGCUGAGGUGCGAAAGCGUGGGUAGCAAACAGGAUUAGAUACCCUUGUAGUC
rnacentral:rRNA from 1 species